rnacentral:rRNA from 1 species
AGGGCACCACCAGGAGUGGAGCCUGCGGCUUAAUUUGACUCAACACGGGAAAACUCACCCGGCCCGGACACCGUAAGGAUUGACAGACUGAGAGCUCUUUCUUAAUUCGGUGGGUGGUGGUGCAUGGCCGUUCUUAGUUGGUGGAGCGAUUUGUCUGGUUAAUUCCGAUAACGAACGAGACUCUGGCCUAUUAAAUAGACGGCGUAUUUAUUAGUACGCCGCGCUUCUUAGAGGGACAAGCGGCGUCUAGCCGCAUGAAAUAGAGCAAUAACAGGUCUGUGAUGCCCUUAGAUGUCCGGGGCUGCACGCGCGCUACACUGAAAGAAUCAGUGGGCGUUGAACCUAGUUCGGAAGAACCGGGUAACCCAAGUAAAUUCUCUCGUGCUUGGGAUAGGGAAUUGCAAUUAUUUCCCUUAAACGAGGAAUUCCCAGUAAAUGCGGGUCAUAAGCUCGCGUUGAUUACGUCCCUGCCCUUUGUACACACCGCCCGUCGCUACUACCGAUUGGAUGACUUAGUGA